rnacentral:rRNA from 1 species
AAUGAACGCUGGCGGCAUGCCUAACACAUGCAAGUCGAACGAAGGCUUCGGCCUUAGUGGCGCACGGGUGCGUAACGCGUGGGAAUCUGCCCUCAGGUUCGGAAUAACAGCGAGAAAUUGCUGCUAAUACCGGAUGAUAUCGCGAGAUCAAAGAUUUAUCGCCUGAGGAUGAGCCCGCGUAGGAUUAGCUAGUUGGUGUGGUAAAGGCGCACCAAGGCGACGAUCCGUAGCUGGGCUGAGGGGAUGAUCAGCCACAAUGGGACUGAGACACGGCCAAGACUCCUACGGGAGGCAGCAGUGGGGAAUAUUGGACAAUGGGCGAAAGCCUGAUCCAGCAAUGCCGCGUGAGUGAUGAAGGCCUUAGGGUUGUAAAGCUCUUUUACCCGGGAUGAUAAUGACAGUACCGGGAGAAUAAGCUCCGGCUAACUCCGUGCCAGCCGCCGCCGUAA